AUAGCCACUGGAAACGGUGAUUAAUACUAGAUACACCUUCUUAUCACAAGGUAAGAAGGGAAAUGUCUUUUCGCUUUGGGAUCAGACUAUAUCCUAUCAGCUAGUUGGUGAGGUAAUGGCUCACCAAGGCAAUGACGGGUAGCGGUUCUGANAGGAUGAUCCGCCACACUGGUACUGAGACACGGACCAGACUCCUACGGGAGGCAGCAGUGAGGAAUAUUGCACAAUGGGGGGAACCCUGAUGCAGCAACGCCGCGUGGAGGAUGACGCAUUUCGGUGUGUAAACUCCUUUUAUAUGUCAAGAAAAUGACGGUAGCAUAUGAAUAAGCACCGGCUAACUCCGUG
rnacentral:rRNA from 1 species